rnacentral:rRNA from 1 species
AUUGAACGCUGGCGGCAUGCCUUACACAUGCAAGUCGAACGGCAGCACGGGGCAACCUGGUGGCGAGUGGCGAACGGGUGAGUAAUGCAUCGGAACGUACCUUUCAGUGGGGGAUAACGUAGCGAAAGUUACGCUAAUACCGCAUAUUCUGUGAGCAGGAAAGCAGGGGAUCGCAAGACCUUGCGCUGAUUGAGCGGCCGAUGUCAGAUUAGCUAGUUGGUGAGGUAAAGGCCCACCAAGGCGACGAUCUGAAGCGGGUCUGAGAGGAUGAUCCGCCGCACUGGAGCGGAGGCACAGUCCAGACUCCUACGGGGGGCAGCAGUGGGGAAUUUUGGGCAAUGGGAGCAACCCUGAUCCAGCCAUGCCGCGUGAGUGAAGGAGGCCUUCGGGUUGUAAAGCUCUUUCGGCCGGGAAGAAAUCGCACGGGCUAAUACCCUGUGUGGAUGACGGUACCGGAAUAAGAAGCACCGGCUAACUACGUGCCAGCCGCCGCAGUAACAC